UACGUAGGGUGCGAGCGUUAAUCGGAAUUACUGGGCGUAAAGCGUGCGCAGGCGGUCAGUUAAGUCUGAUGUGAAAGCCCCGGGCUCAACCUGGGAAUGGCAUUGGAAACUGGCUUGCUGGAGUGUGGCAGAGGGGGGUGGAAUUCCGCGUGUAGCAGUGAAAUGCGUAGAUAUCGGAAGGAACAUCAGUGGCGAAAGCGACUUCCUGGACCAGUACCGACGUUCAGGCACGAAAGCGUGGGGAGCAAACAGG
rnacentral:rRNA from 1 species